ACAUUCGCCAGCAGGCAGCACCCUGUGCAGGCAGUGGGAGAAAUCUGAGCUUCAGCAGCGUCCGGAGCAGGAUUUGCACGAAGUCUCCCGUUUCAAGUUUUAUGUCUCCUGGAGUCCUGGGGAAGGCACCCAGCCCACCCACAGCUCCCUUCUCAGAGCCCUAAGAAUUGAUGAGAAAGCCCCUCACUACCACAUGCAGGACACGCAGGUGAGUCUGUCAGUGACAAGGUCAGACCUUCCCUGCUAUUUGACACUGGUCCCCAAAAGGGAACCGUGCCCUCUCCUCCCCUGGCACGUACCUCAUUUUCCUGCCUUGGGUGCUCCCGGCUGCCCGGCCUUGGUCCUCCCAGCUUGACUUGCCUGUGAGCUCGUGCCCGGUGUGGUGUCCGUGAUGCCUUAUCUUUGUUCUGAGGUCCCUGUGUGUCUCUGGAAUUGGCUGGCAUUCUCCAUUCAGGUCACGCCUUCCCCUGCCUGCAACAGAUCCCCUCUCCCCCUCUCUCCCUCUGGCUUUUCCUCUCUCCUCUCUCUCUCCUUUGACUUGCUCUUGCACUCCCAGGAACCUGACAACAAAAUCUGUCUUCCUACCGAAAAGAUCUGCUCCUUCCCUUCCCUCCUUUAUCCUGUGUGGCUGACUUCAGCCCUUGAGAGAAAAUAACUGAGGGGCUCAAGCAGAAACUUCAGAUGAGUGGACUGGUCACGUGAUACAGCAAUGACAAAAACUUCAGUAUUGGCAUUCAUUCCAGCUGAUGGCAUUCCAGGAGCUUUUAAUGAAUUAAAGCCACAUUUGCCUGAAGAAGCCAGCGAAGUUACUAACUGGUUCAAAAACGAUUAUGUGCAUGAUGGGCAGUAUUGUUGCAGUUCAAUCACCAGUAUUGCUUCCACCAGAUUUGUGGUCUAUAUAUGUGUGCAUAUGGAAUAGAUUUCCACAGACCCACAACACGGAAGCAUGGCACAGAAGAUGGGAAAAAAUGGGGAAUACUCAUGUAGUUGUAUACUAAACCAUAGAAGAAUUUUGAAAAGAGCAGUGUCACAUGGAAAAUAAAUGUGAACAUAUUCUCCAAGGACAGCCAUGUCGUAAAAGAAAAAAAGCAGCUAUUUUUUGUGAUGUGAGACUUAAAAAUAUAGUUAAUGACUGUGAAAGUUGGCCAGCUCUUAUGGACUAUCUCCAUGCAAUUGCCCAUAAUCUAGCUCCAUAACUUUUUUAUUUGUUGAAUUUUCUUUUUAGUUUUUAGUUUUUAUUUUUAGUUUUUUUCACUAUUUGAAAUUGUCAGCAUUAUUUUUUUAUAAUUCGCCAUGCUACCUAUUUCAUCUUUGCAUCAUUUCCAAUACUGCAUGCAUCGUAUAAAGAGUUUUAGAGAGUCCUAAUUUGCUUUGUGCAUUUUUGCAAAUGUAACUCCAUGAAAGUGCAUUUUCAAAAUGUUGAACUUGUGUGUAAGCAGUAUGUGUGUGCAUAAAGACAUUAAAACUUCCUCGACAAAUGAAAAUGUAUCUUCUUUGUACAUCUGCUUUUAUGAAAGAUAAAAUUUCUCAAUGCCUUGGCUCUUUGGGCAACUGAUGUGGUGGUGAUAUGGUAGUGACUCAUCACGGUUUUUGAUCAAUCUUAUCAAAAGACUUAGAAGAGUCUAAGAAUCACAGCAUUUCAGAUGACUGCUGUAUAAAGCUGGGGGCACACAAUUACCAACCACAGUGUGAUAUACAUUUUUAUAUUUUGCUUUUUGAUUUAUUUAUUUAUGAAUAUGGUUCAUCUGCUCAUAACUGUUAUACCCAUGUGACUGUUGUUAGUAUAUCUGAGUGUUUCUGCUUGCAAAAAUAUGGUAUUAUUGUCCAUUUUAUUGUGUAAAGUAGCCUAUGAAGAGUUCUGUCAUGUUUUUGCAUGUUUCUUAAAUAAAUCCCCUUUAAAAAUGUAAGUAAAUAUUUUACAACGUUUUGAAAACUUUUUUUUUUUUUUAAGACGGAGUCUCGCUUUUUUUGUUGUUGCCCAGGCUGGAGUGCAGUGGCACAAUCUCGGCUCACUGCAACAUCCACCUCCUGGGUUCAAGCGAUUCUCCUGCCUCAGCCUCCUGAGUAGCUGGGAUUACAGGCAUCCGCCACCAUGCCUGGCUAAUUUUUGUAUUUUUAGUAGAGAUGGGGUUUCGCCAUGUUGGCCAGGCUGGUUUUGAACUCCUGGCCUCUGGUGAUCCGCCCACCUCGGCCUCCCAAAGUGCUGGGAUUACAGGCGUGAGCCACCACACCCGGCUGAAAAAGUUUUUUCUAAAAUAUUUUUGGAAUUUUGUUUUUCAGGAUUUUAACAUUGGGGAUGAUGGCAUUUGGGAUUAUGGUCAGCUCCCAUCUUGGACUUCUGGCCUCUAGAAUUGUGAGAAAAUAAAUAUCUGUG
rnacentral:lncRNA from 10 species